rnacentral:lncRNA from 1 species
CCUACAAAAAUUUAAAAAGACAGUCCCAAUUGCUCCAUGUAAAUCUCAAAAACAAAAGGCAUCUGUACUUUGACAGCUUCCUUAACAAUCUUCAAAACAUCCAAAACCUUUCUUUCCAUCAUCUCCCCGGCACUCAUAACCUUCCCUAUAUACUCCUAUAUUUCAAAUCAUUUAUGUGUGUUUCAGCUUGAACAUAAAGAAAAACCAUCCCAUUUUCUAUGAGAUACAAAAUAAAUAAAUAAAUAAAUAAAUAAAAACUAAAAAGAUCAAUGCAUCAGUUUCCAGAUUGCACUAGAAACUUCAAUCGCCUUGUCCAAGAUUGAGCUUCUUUUCGAAAAAUUGAGUAGGGAGGAGACCUCAUCCAAACUCUCCAACCUGAAGUGUUUACUCAAAGUCGACGUAUCCAUCACCACAAUGUAAAAUCAGCCUUCGAAAGAGAUUAAUGUAUAAGAAACCAAACUACCAUUCACCUAAGAAUGGAAGAUUAUCAGAGAGAGAGAGAGAGAGCAUAACUCGUAAAAACCAGAGGCCAGAAAUGAAAUGAAA